AAAUGUUUUAUUCUGAAACAAGACGCGGGUACAGUCAUCAGAGGCAUCGCCGACCCCCACAUGGCCUCUGUCCACGUUCCAUGGCACCGUCUGCAGACAGACCUGGAACCCUUUCAACGGUCGGAAACCCACAGCGACAGCAGCAGAUUCAAGUGACAGUGAAGGAUACGGAACGUGCGGGUACGAACUGUUAGAUCCUUCAAAGCCUAAUCUCCCCAAUCCCUCUCACCACCCCAAAACCCCCGGCUAAAGUAACACGUGAGCGACAGCUACCCCCUCGCGCCCGCGAGAAUGAAACAAUUUCCCCUUUCGUCUUGCUCGCAGCGUCCUGAUUAAAGUGAGAACGAUUUCAGAAGAGGUGUGUGCGGACAAUUCUGGAAGCUGCUCCUGGAACACAGCCGAGUCUCCAGGAAACGGAACACACAGGACACGCGGGGCACAAACGGAACCCUUCAUCAAAAGACCGUCGGCACCACACGAACCCAUCCGUGCGGGUCUGUCGUGCAACCGGGCAGGGGAGCCGAGUACAGGUGACGCCGGGAGCGGUCUCCACCCGUCACGUGCCAGGAAAGUGCCCGUGCCCUCCACACAUCCAUCCCGCCAAUGCCACCGUGGCCUGCCAACAUUCACAGCGGGUGCCGAAAGUCAGGAGAGACCAUGCAAAUAGUGUUUCCUUAAUCCA